rnacentral:rRNA from 1 species
UGCAUAUCAAUAAGCGGAGGAAAAGAAACUAACAAGGAUUCCCCUAGUAGCGGCGAGCGAAGCGGGAAGAGCUCAAAUUUAUAAUCUGGCACCUUCGGUGUCCGAGUUGUAAUCUCUAGAAAUGUUUUCCGCGUUGGACCGCACACAAGUCUGUUGGAAUACAGCGGCAUAGUGGUGAGACCCCCGUAUAUGGUGCGGACGCCCAGCGCUUUGUGAUACAUUUUCGAAGAGUCGAGUUGUUUGGGAAUGCAGCUCAAAUUGGGUGGUAAAUUCCAUCUAAAGCUAAAUAUUGGCGAGAGACCGAUAGCGAACAAGUACCGUGAGGGAAAGAUGAAAAGCACUUUGGAAAGAGAGUUAACAGUACGUGAAAUUGUUGGAAGGGAAACGCUUGAAGUCAGACUUGCUUGCCGAGCAAUCGGUUUGCAGGCCAGCAUCAGUUUUCCGGGAUGGAUAAUGGUAGAGAGAAGGUAGCAGUUUCGGCUGUGUUAUAGCUCUCUGCUGGAUACAUCUUGGGGGACUGAGGAACGCAGUGUGCCUUUGGCGGGGGUUUCGACCUCUUCACACUUAGGAUGCUGGUGGAAUGGCUUUAAACGACCCGUCUUGAAACACG